UUACCGAUGAAGAGUCCCAAACUAGGACGAAACAGCUGUCCAGUAC
rnacentral:hammerhead_ribozyme from 1 species